rnacentral:lncRNA from 1 species
CUACAUUUCCCAAAUUCUUACCAAGUUGUUAAUAUCUGGUUUUAUUUUAGCUAUCCUCGUGGAUGUGAAUAGUACCUUAUUUUGAGUCUCACUGGCAGGUGAUGUUGGGCAUUUUUUUAUGUGCUCACUGGCCAGAAUAUCUGCUUUGGAGGAAGGUCUCUAGAGAAAGGUCUACUCAGAUGAUGUGUCCAUUUUUUGAACAUUGGCUGUCUUUGUGUUGGGUUCUGUUCUUUAUAUAUUCUGGAUAUAUCUUCUUUUAAGACAUGUUAUUUGCACAUAUUUUGUCCUUGUGUGUCAGUUGUCUUUCCACUUUUUUGACAAUAUACUUUGAACAAAAGUUGUUAACUUGAAGUUCAAUCUACACAUAUUGUUCUUUAUCUCUGUGCUCUUGGUGUCCUAUCCAAGAAGAGUUUGCCUAAUAUAGUCAAAAUUUACUCCUAUACCUUCAAAGAAAAUUCCCCUUUUAGCUCUUACAUACAUAUAGGUCUAUUUUGAGUUAGAUCUUGAUUUAAAUUUGGGUAAACUUUGUUCAUUGUGUGAGGGGUCAGGUGGAUAUCCAGUCACCCCAGCAUAUAACUGAGAAGACGUUUCCCCCUUGUUGAAUUGUCUUGACAUUCCUGUCAAACUAAGUAACUGCAAAGGUAAGGGCCAACUUCUGGACUCAGCUCUAUUACAGUGGCCUGCAGGUCAAUCUUUGUGCAGGUAUUACCCUGCUCAAUUAUUGUCACUUUUUAAUAAGGUUCACAGUUGGGAAAUGUGAGUUCUCCAACUUUGUUCUUUGAAGAUUGCUUUGGUAAAGUAAUUGGUUAUUCAAAUCCACAGUCUUAUCAAGUUAAUACUACUUGUGUAGAAUAAAAAUUAAGAUAAAAUGUUCCAAUAAAAAGUAGCCAAUGCAUUAUACAUAAGUUCUGAUUUUAAAAAUAACCUGUCAUUCACCCAAAAAAUAAAAAGAGAAAAGAAAUGCAGGAAAAACAUGCUGCUCUGGGC